UGUUUGUCAGCUCAGUUCUGUGUCUGGCCUGUGGUGGUGGUGUUUUGGAGGAUCUCUUUGCAUUCUACCACGUCCCUGGCAUGUGCAGGACUGGAGAACUGGGUCUGGGCCGAGGAUAUGGUCUUUGUCCCCAUGGCUGUGCCCUGGAGCCCUGAGCACCAGCUGCAGAGGCUGCAGGUGACCCGGAAGCUGCUGGAGAUGGAGGAGCAGGCCGCCUUCCUCGUGGGAAGCGCCACCCCUCGCUACCUGUACCUGGCCAGCAACCACAGCAACAAGUGGGGUCACCCCCGGGGCUACCGCAUCCAGAUGCUCAGCUUUGCUGGAGAGCCGCUGCCCCAAAACAGCUCCAUGGCGAGAGGCUUCAGCUGGGAGAGGUGAGUGGCGGGCAGUCAGAGAGGAGGGGGGCAGUGAGAGUGGGAAAGGAGUGUUGGCGGACACUCAGCUCACACUGUAGGUGAGGGGAGAGCUCUCUCAGGAAGGCUUUUCUUUUCCUUUUUUUUUUUUUUUUUUGAGAUGGAGUUUUGCUCUGUUGCCCAGGCCGGAGUGCAGUGGAGCAAUCUCACUGCAUCCUCCGCCUCCCAGUUUCAAGCGAUUCUCCUGCCUCAGCCUCCCCAGUAGCUGGGAUUACAGGUGCACGCCACCACACAUGGCUAAUUUUUGUAUUUUUAGUAGAGAUAGGGUUUCACCAUGUUGGCCAGGCUGGUCUCGAACUCCUGACCUCAUGAUCCACCCUCCUUGGUCUCCCAAAGUGCUGUGAUUACAGGCAUGAGCCACAAUGCCUGGCCAAAGGUUUUUCUAGUUAUCCAAAGAAACCAUGAUGGGCACAUUUUCCCCUUGGAGGCUAAAGCCCAGGAGUGAGAACUCUCUUCUGUUUUGGAUGGGAGAGGGGUUGUACUGUUAAAUGGCUGGGGAUAAACAGGAGGACUUGACCCCCCUUAGGGUGACGUCGGGGAUUCUGUAGCGCCGAGUCAGUUGUGUGACUGCAAUUGGGGAAGCUGAGCUCUGAGCACUCAGUUCCCUUUCAUCAUAAUCAGGCAGCAGGAUGGGGUCAAUGGCCAUGGAGGCCUGACCAGUGCCUCCCUAGGUACCAGCUGGCUGUGACCCAGCGGAAGGAGGAGGAGCCCAGUAGCAGCAGCGUUUUCAAUCAGAAUGACCCUUGGGCCCCCACUGUGGAUUUCAGUGACUUCAUCAACAAUGAGACCAUUGCUGGAAAGGAUUUGGUGGCCUGGGUGACAGCUGGUUUUCUGCAUAUCCCACAUGCAGAGGACAUUCCUAACACAGUGACUGUGGGGAACGGCGUGGGCUUCUUCCUCCGACCCUAUAACUUCUUUGACGAAGACCCCUCCUUCUACUCUGCCGACUCCAUCUACUUCCGAGGGGACCAGGAUGCUGGGGCCUGCGAGGUCAACCCCCUAGCUUGCCUGCCCCAGGCUGCUGCCUGUGCCCCCGACCUCCCUGCCUUCUCCCACGGGGGCUUCUCUCACAACUAGGCGGUCCUGGGAUGGGGCAUGUGGCCAAGGGCUCCAGGGCCAGGGUGUGAGGGAUGGGGAGCAGCUGGGCACUGGGCCGGCAGCCUGGUUCCCUCUUUCCUGUGCCAGGACUCUCUUUCUUCCACUACCCUCCCUCGCAUCCGCCUCUGAGCCAGGAGCCUCCUGACCCUGUGAUGCCUGACACAGGGGACACUGAACCUUGUUGAUGCCAGCUGUACUGAGUUCUCAUCCACAGAGGCCAGGCAUGGCCCAGCCUGGAGCCGUGGCCGAGGGCUUCCCUAGAUGGUUCCCUUUGUUGCUGUCUGGCUUUCCCGAAUCUUUUUAGGCCACCUCCAAGGACUCUAAAAGGGGGCUAUUCCCUGGAGACCCCAGAGUAGGGUUGCCAGUCCUGCAAGUCCAUAGCUGAGCUGGAAAGGAUGCUUCUGCUCACAUUCCCUCUCAUCCAGGUCCUUUCCUUCUCGUCUUCCUCUCUCUCACCUACUUCCUCCUCCUCCUCCUGUUCCUGCCUUCUCUUCUAUCCUGCAAUUUCUCCCGAAUCCUGAGGGGAUAUCCCUAUGUCCCAGCCCCUGGUACUCCCCCAGCCCUCAGUUUUCAGUCAAGUUCCGUCUCCUCUCCAGCCCUAUGGAAGUCUCAAGGUCACGGGACCCCUAAUCAGAGUGGCCAAUCCCUGUGUGUCGUUCCCUUGUGUCUGUUGCUUAUUGGGAGUAGGAGUUGCUCCUACCCCUGUCCUGGGGCUGGGUGUGUUUCAGGACAGCUGCUUCUGUGCAUUUGUGUCUGCCUGCCUCAUGCUCUCUAUAGAGGAGGAUGGUCAUCGUGACAGCAGCAGCUCAAGUUAGCAUUUCAAGUGAUUUGGGGGUGCAAUGAUAAUGAAGAAUGGCCAUUUUGUACCAGGGCUCUGUAUUCUGCAACAGCCUGUUUGGGAGGCUGGAGUGGAAACAAAGGGUGGGCAUCAAAGAUGAGAAGCCAAAGCCCCUACAACUCCAGCCACCCAGCCAGGAGGGGCUGUCCAAUCACAUUCAGGCAUGCGAAUGAGCUGGGCCCUGGGUGAGGUGGGGGUCUGGCCUAGUGGGGAGGGGCCUGGCCUGGGUGGGGCAGGGCCUGGCCUGGUCCAGGCUUGGGCUCCAUUCCCAUCACUGCUGUCCCUCCUGAGGUCUGGAUUGGGGAUGGGGACAAAGAAAUAGCAAGAGAUGAGAAACAACAGAAACUUUUUUCUCUAAAGGACUGGUUAAAUCAAUUCUGAUACAGCCUUACAAUACAAUAGUAUGCAGCUAAAAAAUAAUUGUAUGUCUUUAUAUACUAAUAUGUAAUAAUCUUCAGGUGAAAAAGGCAAGCCACAGAAAUGUGUAUAGCGCACUUCCCAUUUGUGUUUCAGAAAGGAGUAGAAUAUAAACACAUAAUUGCUUAUGUAUGCCUAUUCAGAAUAAAUGGGUAACACUGAUUACUUUUGGGAGGGGAACCAGUAGGUUGAGGACAGGAGAGGGAAGGGUCUUAACACUUACACCCUUUUGUACAUUUUGAAUUUUGAACCAUGUGACUGUAUUACCUAUUCAAAAUAAACAAUAA
rnacentral:lncRNA from 1 species